UUUAUAGUAGAAUAUAGUUACCAGUUAAUAUUAAAUAAGAAGUACAAAUUUCAUCAAUUAAACAUAUUUAAUUUUGCGUGAAAGUGAACAUUUUUCUAGUAAGAAAAAGUAUACGUCUACAGUAUGUAAUUCUUUUUUACGGUUUGUACGAAAAUACCACGAAACAAUUAAUGAAAACAACGUAAAAUUUUCAACAGUAAAGAAAAUAGCCUGGACGAAGGGUAGUACAAAAAGUAUAAUUAAGGUUUUAAAUAUGAAGAAUGGGUGAUUAGUAUUAAAAUAAGUUGUGAAAUCCGUAUGUAUCGGUUAUUUUGAAAAUUGUUGUGAACUAAUGUAUAAUGAUUAAAAAAUCUAGCACCAUACGAUCCUUUGUUUUCAAGUCUAGCAGAAAGAAGUUGCAAUAAUUUAGGAGGAGGAAAAGAUAUAAAAUAUUAGUGUCUAAAACAAUCGAAGAUAUUUCUUUCUCAUUCUACCAACUGGUUCCAAAAGGUACUUUUAUUAAGCAAAUAUGAUCUAUGGACAGUUAUUGGUAUACUCGGUCGACACUGUCUGAUGAACUACCAUUUGGAGAACAUCAAAGAAACUUCCGACAGCUCUUAUAGUUUCUGCAAAGGACCAAGGAAAAACGCCGACCACCUCUUGGUUUUAUUCUAUAUUUUAGGGCUAUUCAAUACCGAUCCCAUCCGAUAUGUUUAUAAAGAUAUCAACUUACUUUAACGUGAGAGCAUAAAUGUCAUUUUGACCGCUUUGAGGCCUCAAUCUAACCAUAAACGUUCCAUUUUCCCUCCUCUCCAAUUUCAUACUAGCUUUAUUCCUAUCCAUUUCUCCGACAAACCAAAGUUUAUCACUUAACGGAUCAUUUAAACCGUUCGAUGUUGUGGAAUUAUUGAAAUGUAACGUUUGGAAACAUUUUCCCGAUUUUUGUAUACAAUCUUUAUGGACGCUUAUACCACAAGUCGAACAUUUAUAACCUUGGGAAAUGAGACCUUUGAGAAAUUUGGAGCAGAAUACACAUUGAGUCGGUUGGGGGAAUGUGUGUAGCUCGAAAUUGUGGUUGGUAUGUUUCAGUGAUUUGGGUCUCAAAUUAUUUCUGUAAAAAAAAAAAAUAAUAUUAAUAUUAGAUUGGAAACUUGUUUUUAUUCAACCCAUACAAAAAAAGGUCACGGGAAAAAAGGAUUGUUCCAGCAAAUCUCGAGUCUACUAACAUCAUCAGUGACCAUCAAUAUAGAUCAACAAGAGAUCUCCUGGUCUACUUCACAAACGUAUGGACAAGUCGAAGGCUUUUAACAGGGUUCGGCAUGCUUCUGCGAGGGUUGUUUAGCCAGGAAAUCGUCGCCACAACACACUUCUAAAUAAAUCAAGACCGUACGGUUUGACGUCCUCACUUAUCGGCUGGCUUAGUAGUUUCCUCAAAUACCGAUCCAUCUACGUCGCUACCGAUGGUCACUCUUCAGAAAGUUCGAUGUUCUGGUGUUCCCCAGGGAUGCAUCUUGUCGCUCACACUCGGUUAAAACCAAAAUCCGUGGGCAGCAACACAUCCCCACCAUCAAUACCGAUCUAGAGUGGGGUGGAAGCAAACUGAUUCGAGUUUAAUCCAGCCAAAACCCCUUUACAAAGAAGGCUAUAAUUACAGCUCAGGAUUUGGUCCUGUAUGGAAUAUCACAGUCACCGCAAAUUCCCUUGAUGAUACUCCGAUCAAUACAAAAGAGACUUAUAGGUGAUCCGGAGUUGACCAGAAGCUUAGAUUAUAGUAGAAAGGUCGCUGACCUUACUUUGGUUUACGGAUAUUACCACGACAUAUGCUCUUCCACAUAAUCCCACCUCGAGCAGUGUUUUCAAGCCUUACUCGACAGGCAGAUUUCGCUUGUAGACUCUAAUUUGAUUGGAGAAGGCAAGCUUAUGGAAUCAGGUCUUUCUCGAGCAUUACAACCUACAGAAGUUCAAGAUCGAUAUCUGCGGGCAUAUUUAUUUGGUACUAAAGAUAAUCUCGAGAAAUGUUAUAAACCCCGAAGGCCAAAAAGACAAAUAUGAACAGAGUUGAACCGACGCGAGGACAAGGUUAAACAUUUUAAUCACCAGAAUCCUUUUGUAUGGUUUUGUUCCUUGUGUCCCAACAACUUAAAUCGCUGAGCUUUGAACUUUAGUCGGAUCUACUGCGAAAAGAUGAAUCGGUUAACAACUGAAAAGGCUGGAAAGAUAAUGUAUUUGUCGCACAACUGGAAUAUGAUAAAUACAGUUAGAAAAACAACAGAAGGAUAAGCAAAAAUACAGAUAUUGAAGAUAGCGAUAAAUAUAUUGAAACUGAUGAUUCCCAUAUCCACAUAUCGUUAUUGUAUGAAGAUUUCUUAUUUAAUAAAUUCAGUUUCUCUUUAAUUUACAACAAUAUUGCAAUAUUUUACAACAUUACUCACCUCACUUGUAUGUUCUAUUAAUUUUUCGAGUAAGAGAUGAUAUUUCAAUAUCCUUUGCAUUGGUACGGAAAGGACAUCUCUUAAUUUGAAUUUACCAUUAUUAUCCUCUUUUUCGUAUUUCUAAAAUAUGAUCGGUUAUUAGAGAAUUGUAGUUUUUAAUUCAAUCAUAAACUUACAA